AGUGAACGCUGGCGGUAGGCCUAACACAUGCAAUUCGAACGGCAGCACAGUAAGAGCUUGCUCUUACGGGUGGCGAGUGGCGGACGGGUGAGGAUUACAUCGGAAUCUACUUUUUCGUUGGGGAUCACGUAGGGAAACUUACGCCUAUACCGCAUACGACCUACGGGUGAAAGCAGGGGAUCUUCGGACCUUGCGCGAUUGAAUUAGCCGAUGUCGGAUUAGCUAGUUGGCGGGGUAAAGGCCCACCAAGGCGACGAUCCGUAGCUGGUCUGAGAGGAUGAUCAGCCAAACUGGAACGGAGACGGGGUCCAGGCUAAUACGGGAGGCAGCAGUGGAGAAUAUUAAGCAAUGAGCGCAAGCCUGAUCCAGACAAACCACGUGGGUGAAGAAGGCCUUCGGGUUGGAAAGCCCUUUUGUUGGGAAAGAAAAGCGGCAGGUUAAUACACCGCUGUUCUAACGAUACCCAAAGAAUAAGCGCCGGCUAACUUCGUG
rnacentral:rRNA from 1 species